rnacentral:rRNA from 1 species
AACGAACGCUGGCGGCGUGCUUAACACAUGCAAGUCGAACGCGAAAUUUUUCUUCGGAAAGAGAGUAGAGUGGCGCACGGGUGAGUAACGCGUAAGUAAUCUACCCCUGUAUUCGGAAUACCCCACCGAAAGGUGAGCUAAUACCGGAUACGUUUAUCUUGAUGCGAAUGAUGAUAAAGAAAGGUGGCCUCUUCUUGAAAGCUACUGUACAGGGACGAGCUUGCGUACCAUUAGCUAGUUGGUAGGGUAAUGGCCUACCAAGGCGACGAUGGUUAGCGGGUCUGAGAGGAUGAUCCGCCACACUGGAACUGGAACACGGACCAGACACCUACGGGUGGCAG